rnacentral:lncRNA from 1 species
GAUCACCUGAGUCAUCACACCCAGUGGGGACAGGACCUGAGGGCCACAGCCGACAAGUCCUCAAGGCUGUCUGGUGUGGCCUCUGGCAUCUAUUCUGGGCUCAGGCUCUGGGGUUAGGACACGGCCAGGGAUUGAGACAUGACCGGGAAAUUCCUCUCUGAUGCAGUGUUUUCCAGGCACCACUGGGAUUUCUGUUCCCUGGAUAGACUUCACUCCUUCCACGAGGCAGGGGGAAGAGGUGGCCCAGAGAACAAAAUGCCAGUCCCUGGAGUCCGUCCUGGGGCUCCCAGCUUGCACACUCAGCCACCCCACAGAGCCUUGGGGGGCGCCGGACUUGUCAUCCACUGAUAAGGGACAGGUCUGCCCCAGGAUUUCCACUGCUCUCAGGCAUCAAAGGGGGACACACCCCCCACCUCUCACCCCAGCACUCCCAGGCCCCAGGCCAAGCUCUGGUGACCUUGACUUCAAGGAAUAUUUUAGCCACAGACAGCCGUCCAGGGCUCCAACUCCGCUGUUCCUCCAUUUCUCCCACCCCACCCCAAACACAUGGCCAGCCGCACAGCCACCACCCUCCAGCCAGUGUAGUCAGCCUGGGUGUCCCCCUGCCAGCACAGUGAUCACCAUCACUGUUGCCACUGAACCUCAUGGCUUCCCCUGCAGCCUCCCCGCCCAUGAGGGCCAGGUGGGAGCUCAAGGACCCUCUCAGACACCCCUGAUUUUUCAGGGAGGCAGUUUAAGCGCAGAGAGUACGCAUUCAAGAUCUCACGCCAGUUUCACUACCUGCCUGCUCUCUGAUGGUCCCCGGCCAGGACGGGAAGCCCGUGGACCUCAGUUUCCUCAUCCGUGCAAUGGGGUAACACCGGCUUCAUAAGCCUGGUGGCUGACCAUGGCCAGGGGCCCAUCCCAGACCCCUCUUUGUAACAAGGAGUGGGCCUGUGUAGAUAAUUGUGUCACAUCCAAGGCCAGGAAGGAUGUUCCUCACCCCAGGGCUGGACACUGGGCAGCCAUAGGCUUUCCCUUUCCC